rnacentral:rRNA from 1 species
AAACUUUCAACAACGGAUCUCUCGGUUCUGGCAUCGAUGAAGAACGAGCGAAAUGCGAUAAGUAAUGUGAAUUGCAGAAUUCAGUGAAUCAUCGAAUCUUUGAACGCACAUUGCGCCCGCCAGUAUUCUGGCGGGCAUGCCUGUCCGAGCGUCAUUU